GACGAACGCUGGCGGCGUGCCUAACACAUGCAAGUCGAGCGGAGCCAAUCAGAAGAUUCCUUCGGGAUGAUUUUGAGGAAGCUUAGCGGCGGACGGGUGAGUAACGCGUGAGUAACCUGCCUGUAAGAGGGGGAUAACACUGAGAAAUUGGUACUAAUACCCCGUAAUAUUACUGAAGGCAUCUUUGGUAGUUGAAAGUUCCGGCGGUUAUGGAUGGGCAUGCGUUGUAUUAGCUAGUUGGUGGGGUAAAGGCCUACCAAGGCGACGAUCCAUAGCUGGUCUGAGAGGAUGAUCAGCCACAUUGGGACUGAGACACGGCCCAAACUCCUACGGGAGGCAGCAGUGGGGAAUAUUGGACAAUGGCGGAAAAGCCUGAUCCAGCCAUGCCGCGUGAGUGAUGAAGGCCCGUAGGGUUGUAAAAGGCUCUUUC
rnacentral:rRNA from 1 species